rnacentral:rRNA from 1 species
AUGUCCAGGGCUACACACACGCUACAAUGGUCAGCACAAUAGGUAGCCAAGCCGCGAGGUGGAGCCAAUCCUCAAAGCUGGCCUCAGUUCAGAUCGCAGGCUGCAACCCGCCUGCGUGAAGCCGGAGUUGCUAGUAACCGCAGGUCAGCUAUACUGCGGUGAAUACGUUCCCGGGGCUU